rnacentral:rRNA from 1 species
UACGUAGGGGGCAAGCGUUGUCCGGAAUUAUUGGGCGUAAAGCGCGCGCAGGCGGUUGUUUAAGUCUGAUGUAUAAACUCCAGGCUCAACUUGGGGUGGCAUUGGAAACUGGGGAACUGGAGUGUAGGAGAGGGAAGUGGAAUUCCACGUGUAGCGGUGAAAUGCGUAGAGAUGUGGAGGAACACCGGUGGCGAAGGCGGCCUUCUGGACAGUAACUGACGCUGAGACGCGAAAGCGUGGGGAGCAAACAGG